GACGAACGCUGGCGGCGUGCUUAACACAUGCAAGUCGAGCGGAAAGGCCACUUCGGUGGUACUCGAGCGGCGAACGGGUGAGUAACACGUGAGUAAUCUGCCCCUGGCUUUGGGAUAGCCACCGGAAACGGCGAUUAAUACCGGAGAUGACCACUUCACGCAUGUGAUGGUGGUGGAAAGUUUUUCGGCCAGGGAUGUGCUCGCGGCCUAUCAGCUUGAUGGGGAGGUAAUGGCUCACCAUGGCUUCGACGGGUAGCCGGCCUGAGAGGGUGACCGGUCACACUGGGACUGGGACACGGCCCAGACUCCUACGGGAGGCAGCAGUGGGGAAUAUUGGACAAUGGGCGGAAGCCUGAUCCAGCAACGCCGCGUGAGGGAUGACGGCCUUCGGGUUGUAAACCUCUUUCGCCUGUGACGAAGCGCAAGUGACGGUAACAGGUAAAGAAGCACCGGCCAACUACGUGCCAGCAGCCGCAGUAA
rnacentral:rRNA from 1 species